rnacentral:rRNA from 1 species
CCUACGGGAGGCAGCAGUGGGGAAUAUUGGACAAUGGGGGCAACCCUGAUCCAGCCAUGCCGCGUGUGUGAAGAAGGCCCUCGGGUUGUAAAGCACUUUCAGUGAGGAAGAACGCCUGGUGGUUAAUACCCAUCAGGAAAGACAUCACUCACAGAAGAAGCACCGGCUAACUCCGUGCCAGCAGCCGCGGUAAUACGGAGGGUGCGAGCGUUAAUCGGAAUUACUGGGCGUAAAGCGCGCGUAGGUGGCUUGAUAAGCCGGUUGUGAAAGCCCCGGGCUCAACCUGGGAACGGCAUCCGGAACUGUCAAGCUAGAGUGCAGGAGAGGAAGGUAGAAUUUCCGGUGUAGCGGUGAAAUGCGUAGAGAUCGGGAGGAAUACCAGUGGCGAAGGCGGCCUUCUGGACUGACACUGACACUGAGGUGCGAAAGCGUGGGUAGCAAACAGGAUUAGAUACCCCUGUAGUC